rnacentral:rRNA from 1 species
AAGGCCCCCUUGUGGGGUACUCGAGUGGCGAACGGGUGAGUAACACGUGAGUAACCUACCCUUGACUUUGGGAUAACUUCAGGAAACUGGGUCUAAUACCGGAUAGGAGCCAUCUUUAGUGUGGUGGUUGGAAAGUUUUUUCGGUGUAGGAUGAGCUCGCGGCCUAUCAGCUUGUUGGUGGGGUAAUGGCCUACCAAGGCGGCGACGGGUAGCCGGCCUGAGAGGGUGUACGGCCACAUUGGGACUGAGAUACGGCCCAG